GAGGAAUAUUGGUCAAUGGGCGAGAGCCUGAACCAGCCAAGUAGCGUGCAGGAUGACAGCCCUAUGGGUUGUAAACUGCUUUUGUAUGGGGAUAAAGUCAAUCACGUGUGAUUGUUUGCAGGUACCAUACGAAUAAGGACCGGCUAAUUCCGUGCCAGCAGCCGCGGUAAUACGGAAGGUCCGGGCGUUAUCCGGAUUUAUUGGGUUUAAAGGGAGCGUAGGCUGGAGAUUAAGUGUGUUGUGAAAUGUAGACGCUCAACGUCUGACUUGCAGCGCAUACUGGUUUCCUUGAGUACGCACAACGUUGGCGGAAUUCGUCGUGUAGCGGUGAAAUGCUUAGAUAUGACGAAGAACUCCGAUUGCGAAGGCAGCUGACGGGAGCGCAACUGACGCUGAAGCUCGAAGGUGCGGGUAUCGAACAGGAUUAGAUACCCUGGUAGUCCGCACAGUAAACGAUGGAUGCCCGCUGUUGGUACCUGGUAUCAGCGGCUAAGCGAAAGCAUUAAGCAUCCCACCUGGGGAGUACGCCGGCAACGGUG
rnacentral:rRNA from 1 species